GAUCAGCUGCUUGAACCAUUUGUCUUUCUCCACAGGUCAACAGUGUUGCCCAGAACAAAUGAAUUUUACAUCUUCUCAAACUCAAUAGAGCAAAGAUGGAACAUCAUUCCCCCUGCAAGCCUUACUGCCCUAGAGAAAAGCAAAAACAACUUGCGACAUCUAAUUUUUUCUCCACAUUCUCAUCUCAAAUUGCAACUGUUUUCCAGAUGCUAACUGGUUUUCAUUCUUAAAACUGACAGAAAUUUUUCUCAUUAUUUCUUUUUCUUUCAUUUUUUGUGAGGAAGAUCAGCCCUGAGCUAACUUCUGAUGCCAAUCUUCCUCUUUGUGCUGAGGAAUAUUGUCCCUGGAUUAACAUCUGUGUCCAUCUUCCUCUACUUUAUAUGGUAUGCUACCAAAGCAUGGUUUGACAAGAGGGGUAUGGAGCUCCCAGACUUAUUAACUACAGGGAGAGAGUAAGAGUCAGAACACAUUCAAUAAACUCCAAUGUGCUCAAGUAAGAAGAAACUUCAUUGGCUACAAGGAAAGGAGAAGGUGUGAAAUUUAAAUUGAUGUAUUUCACCCUUGAAUGGCCAAGCUGUAACAUCAGGUGUUUUAAAUCACCUAGUUCAUCAGGUUUUCUGCUUAUUACUAUAUAU